rnacentral:rRNA from 1 species
AGAGUUUGAUCCUGGCUCAGAUUGAACGCUGGCGGCAGGCCUAACACAUGCAAGUCGAACGGUAACAGGAAGCAGCUUGCUGCUUCGCUGACGAGUGGCGGACGGGUGAGUAAUGUCUGGGAAACUGCCUGAUGGAGGGGGAUAACUACUGGAAACGGUAGCUAAUACCGCAUAACGUCGCAAGACCAAAGAGGGGGACCUUAGGGCCUCUUGCCAUCGGAUGUGCCCAGAUGGGAUUAGCUAGUAGGUGGGGUAACGGCUCACCUAGGCGACGAUCCCUAGCUGGUCUGAGAGGAUGACCAGCCACACUGGAACUGAGACACGGUCCAGACUCCUACGGGAGGCAGCAGUGGGGAAUAUUGCACAAUGGGCGCAAGCCUGAUGCAGCCAUGCCGCGUGUAUGAAGAAGGCCUUCGGGUUGUAAAGUACUUUCAGCGGGGAGGAAGGGA